AGACAAGUUUUUGUUUCGUUAAUUGCCUGAGGCCCAAGGCACGGUGUUUUACUGGAACGCAGGUCUCCUCGGAGGAAAACACUAGGCGCCGAGAUGUGCUGGCCUUCCCUUAUGGUCCAGACCAGUUGUUUUCAUCAAGGGAGCAUUGAGAUAGCCCUACACCUCGGAAGAAGUACCCAUAAACGAAUUUUAGAUAUAAUAAAGAGCUAUUACAAUUUCCCUCGUUUUUUGUUGUUUAAAAUA